GCCGGCAUGGCUUAGUGGUAUAGCGUGGCACUUGUAUUUCAAGAGCAUGCCAAGGUCCUCGGUUCGAUUCCGAUUGUCGGCA